CACGAAGGGGGCUAGCGUUGUUCGGAAUUACUGGGCGUAAAGCGCGCGCAGGCGGCCUUUCAAGUCAGGGGUGAAAGCCCGGAGCUCAACUCCGGAAUUGCCUUUGAAACUGUCAGGCUCGAGUACGGGAGAGGUGAGUGGAAUUCCCAGUGUAGAGGUGAAAUUCGUAGAUAUUGGGAAGAACACCGGUGGCGAAGGCGGCUCACUGGCCCGUUUCUGACGCUCAGGCGCGACAGCGUGGGGGAUCAAAACAGG
rnacentral:rRNA from 1 species